UGGGGAAUAUUGCGCAAUGGGCGAAAGCCUGACGCAGCGACGCCGCGUGAGGGAUGAAGGUUUUCGGAUCGUAAACCUCUGUCAGAAGGGAAGAAACCGCACUGUGCUAAUCAGCAGUGCCUUGACGGUACCUUCAAAGGAAGCACCGGCUAACUCCGUGCCAGCAGCCGCGGUAAUACGGAGGGUGCAAGCGUUAAUCGGAAUUACUGGGCGUAAAGCGCACGUAGGCUGCUUUGUAAGUCAGGGGUGAAAUCCCACGGCUCAACCGUGGAACUGCCUUUGAUACUGCUUAGCUUGAAUCCGGGAGAGGGUGGCGGAAUUCCAGGUGUAGGAGUGAAAUCCGUAGAUAUCUGGAGGAACAUCAGUGGCGAAGGCCGCCACCUGGACCGGUAUUGACGCUGAGGUGCGAAAGCGUGGGGAGCAAACAGG
rnacentral:rRNA from 1 species